rnacentral:lncRNA from 1 species
CAGGGCGGGCGGGGUCGGCGGGGCGCUGAAAGGCUGAGGCCAGGAGGGAGGGCGGGCCUGGCGUGGCGCACCCGGCGGUGCUGGCACUCGUCUCUCGGUGACCAGAGAGCAGUGUGAGGAUUUGGCAGCGACGUGUUGACGCUGCGCUUGCGUACCAUACGUAGGGCAAGACUGGAAGGCCGCUGGGAAAAUACCAGCAUCCCGAACGCAAAAAACGGACAGCGGGUCCACGUGCUAGGGAUUCGACCGCAUCCAAUGCAGGUGGGAAGAUCCCGCUAGACUAAAAUAGCUUAUCCUUAUCAAAACCCGGAAAUGCCAAAUGGACACGUGGGAUGAGGGUUCGGUUAAAUAACGCAGGAUGGUGGCCUACAAGGUUUCAGUGUGUUUCUGGAAAAGGAAAUAAUAUUCAGGAUGCCUAACACCGAUGAGUGAAGCCUCAAGUUAAUGAGCCCUGGGCUGGAGGCUUCCUAAAACACUAUGCAAAUGUGUAUUAAACAAGGCGUAGAGGAAACACUGACCAUUUUAAGAUGGUUGAUGCAACUUCUGAAAAUCUGAAGAACUUUGUUUCAAGCUGGUAUUAGCAUUUCACGAAAAGGAUCGGGGAGUUCUGCAUUAGGGUGAAGUAGAUUUCUCAUUAACAUGGAUGAAAAAUACCUAUUGAUAGUAUAAUUCGUUGAGCAGAGGGCAGAAGAGGGCGCCGCAACUCUGAGCAGGGUUGAGAAGCCUGUUUGGAUCCAGCUCUGCCAUUCUGGGCCGUGAGGUUACCAAUGUAGCAGUGAAGAAAGCCGGGGAUCACAGGCUCUCCUCCUUGUUAUAACAUUAGUAACAACACAAGAGGAGAGGAAACCAAGAGAGAAGGUAAGGGGAGACUCGAGUCUUUCUCAUGCUUUGGUUGUUUGCUUCUGCUAUGCUCAAAAGCAGGUAAGCAUAGCCUUGCUUUCUGUAAACUAAAACGCUGGCAACAUCCUCUGUUAUUUGUUGGACAUUGAGCUGUGUUCCUUGCCACGUUCAAGGUCCUUGUUCCUGCUCCAUCCUAGAGCACACAAUGUUUGUUGUUAUUAUUCAUACUACUUAUGAGGUUUGGUCAGUUUAUCAACCAUAAUAAUUUUCCUGGCUAAUUACAUGGCAGUUUGUAUUUUCACAAUGUCCUGCAGCCACAACUUGUGUAGGGAGUGAUGUUUAGGCGGGCUACAAGUUGUGUGUGAUGGAUAUUUAACUUUGCAUACUUAUUAUAAGCACAAUAAAAUAUAUGUUUGGCUAUGGGUUAAUAUCAAUACUCAAUGAUUUAUCUGCCUGGUCCCUAAUUUCUAAGACGCACAAGUUAGCUAGAACUGUAACUGAGCCAGUAGGUAGAUUUCCUACUCCCGUUCCGAAUGCUGGGAGAGGCACUAAUGUAAAGCCAGUAGGUAGAUUUCCUACUCCCGUUCCGAAUGCUGGAGGAGGCACUAAUGUAUAGCCAGUAGAUAGAUUUCCUACUCCCGUUCCGAAUGCUGGAGGAGGCACUAAUGUAUAGCCUGCCUAGUGCUUGGAUGCAGUUGUUGAUGCAGUUGGACUCACCUCAACCACUGCUUUGAGGAAACCCAAGAGGAGGCUCCCUUUACCCUUGAAAACACCCUAGGUGCCUGAAGUACCUCAAUUGGAACCUCCUGUAUUUAUUCUAUUAAGCCCAUAAUAAAUUUAGUUCUUUAUAAAAACGGGACUGGAGUAUUGUUUUGUGGCUAAGAACGUUUGCCGCUCUUCCAAGGUACCAAGUUCAGUUCCCGGCACCUGUGCCCGGUGGCUCACAACCUCCUGCAACUCCAGUUGGUUCCAGAGGGACCAACACCCUCGUCUGACUUUUGUGGGCAUGUGCACACGUGUGAACUUGGAAGAAGCGUACACACAUCCAAACACAGGGAGACUGGAGAACUGACACCCAAGUGGGCAGGAGCCAAGAAAAACGGGAACGGCUAGAUGAUACAUAUUUUCAGCGUUUGACGGUUUCUGGUGCAGUAGAAGGAUGUGGGGGGAAAAAAAUGUAGCACCGUUCCCCUCACAAGGCCUGAUGAACUGAGAGUAAACGAAUUCUGCCUCUAUAAACCCCAAGAACACAUUGGUCAGGAGAAGAGAUGGCAGCAGAGCUAGAAGGGCAGCUGAGGGGUUAAUGUGAUGCACCAGUGAAGAAAGGCAGGGAUGAAAAAAAGGUAUCAAUUCCAAGAACUUGUCCCGAGUUAGAGACCGAAAGCGUGGUUUGAAACGUUCCUUGUGGACUGCUGUUUGAGCACUUGGUUCCACCUGGUGGCGCUGUUCGGGGACGUUGUAGAACCUUUAGGAGCUGGAGGCUUGCUGGAGAAGAGCAUGCUGGGAGCCUGGCUUGGAGGGCUAUUGUUUGGCCCCACUUCCGGUUCCCCUUGGAUCACUCAGCUUCCUGACUGCUAGGCUGGCCCCAGCCCCUGCUGCUAUGCCUUCCCGCCUCGGUGGACUGUGUAGUCUCUGGAAUCAUAAGCAAAAGUAAACAAACCCCUUUUCCCCAA